ACUCGAGUGGCGAACGGGUGAGUAACACGUGGGUGAUCUGCCCUGCACUUCGGGAUAAGCUGGGAAACUGGGUCUAAUACCGGAUAGGAGCCAUCUUUAGUGUGGUGGUUGGAAAGUUUUUCGGUGUAGGAUGAGCUCGCGGCCUAUCAGCUUGUUGGUGGGGUAAUGGCCUACCAAGGCGGCGACGGGUAGCCGGCCUGAGAGGUGUACGGCCACAUUGGGACUGAGAUACGGCCCAG
rnacentral:rRNA from 1 species